UGUGGUUAUAAUAGCAAAGAGGAUACACCUGUUCCCAUUCCGAACACAGAAGUUAA
rnacentral:rRNA from 1 species